rnacentral:tRNA from 1 species
CAGGGAGACAACAAAAUGUUUAAUAUUAUUUUGUCACCUUAGGUCGAUCGGUAUCUCACGUUUUUAAUUUAUUAAGAAUUUCAUUUCCUAAGUUUUUCUAGGUCACACCCAUUAUUUUUCCUGGGCCAUUAGCUCAGGUGGUUAGAGCGCACCCCUGAUAAGGGUGAGGUCCCUGGUUCAAGUCCGGGAUGGCCCAUAUCUCUAUGUUGGGGGUAUAGCUCAGUUGGUAGAGCGCCUGCUUUGCAAGCAGGAUGUCAGCGGUUCGAGUCCGCUUACCUCCACUGAUUACCACCUCUUCCAUACCGGUAGAAUGGAAAUGUUUUGAGUCGUGAUCAAAUUCUGAAAGAAUCUAGCUUCCUAAUGAAAUCAUUAAGAUGCUGGACUCAUUGAAUUAAUUUCAUUGUUUUCAGAGAACCUUGACAACUGCAUAGAUUAUUUUUAAAGACAAUAAGCAUCUUUAAUGAUGCAGAUUUAUUAUUUGUGCGAAUGCAUUAAUAACAAUUCUAUUAAGCUGAUGCUUCAAUUUUUGAAGUUAUU